UGGGUGAUGAGAGUAGACAGUGACUCUUGGC
rnacentral:piRNA from 1 species